GCCGUUGGUUGAGCGUGUCCAAGCAGCAAGGCUUGAAAGUAGGCAAAUCCGCUUUCUACAAGGCUGAGCUGUGAUGGGGUGGUCGAAUGACCGGUAGCAAUCGAUUUCACGCUGUCAAGAAAAGCCGCUAAUGAGAUCCAAGGUGCCCGUACCGCAAACCGACACAGGUAGAUGAGGAGAGAAUCCUAAGGUGAGCGAGCGAACUAUUGUUAAGGAACUCGGCAAAAUAACCCCGUAACUUCGGGAGAAGGGGUGCCUGCCUCGGCAGGCCGCAGUGAAGAGGUCCAGGCAACUGUUUACCAAAAACACAGGUCUCUGCUAAAGCGAAAGCUGAUGUAUAGGGGCUGACGCCUGCCCGGUGCUGGAAGGUUAAGGGGAAGUGUUAGGGCAACCGAAGCACAGAACUUAAGCCCCAGUAAACGGCGGCCGUAACAAUAACGGUCCUAAGGUAGCGAAAUUCCUUGUCGGGUAAGUUCCGACCCGCACGAAAGGCGUAAUGAUCUGGACACUGUCUCAACAAUAGGCUCGGUGAAAUUGUAGUACCGGUAAAGAUGCCGGUUACCCGCAGCAGGACGGAAAGACCCCGUGGAGCUUCACUGUAGCUUGAUAUUGAUUUUCGGCAUUGCAUGUACAGGAUAGGUGGGAGACGUUGAGUUCAGCACGCCAGUGUUGGAGGAGUCACCGUUGGGAUACCACCCUUGUAAUGUUGGAAAUCUAACCUAGUACCGUGAUCCGGUACAGGGACAGUGUCAGGUGGGCAGUUUGACUGGGGCGGUCGCCUCCUAAAGAGUAACGGAGGCGCCCAAAGGUUCCCUCAGCGCGGACGGAAAUCGCGCGAAGAGUGCAAAGGCAAAAGGGAGCUUGACUGCGAGACAUACAGGUCGAGCAGGGACGAAAGUCGGGCUUAGUGAUCCGGUGGUUCCGAGUGGAAGGGCCAUCGCUCAACGGAUAAAAGCUACCCCGGGGAUAACAGGCUUAUACCCCCCAAGAGUUCACAUCGACGGGGGUGUUUGGCACCUCGAUGUCGGCUCGUCUCAUCCUGGAGCUGAAGUAGGUCCCAAGGGUUGGGCUGUUCGCCCAUUAAAGAGGUACGCGAGCUGGGUUCAGAACGUCGUGAGACAGUUCGGUCCCUAUCCGCUGUGGGCGUUGGAAAUUUGAGAGGAGCUAUCCUUAGUACGAGAGGACCGGGAUGGACAUACCUCUGGUGUACCGGUUGUUCUGCCAAGGGCAUAGCCGGGUAGCUACGUAUGGAAGGGAUAAGCGCUGAAAGCAUCUAAGUGCGAAGCCCACCUCAAGAUAAGAUUUCCUCCGAAAGGUAAGACCCGUGAGAGACUAUCACGUUGAUAGGUCAGAGGUGUAAGUACGGUAACGUAUUCAGCUGACUGAUACUAAUAGGUCGAACACUUGAC
rnacentral:rRNA from 1 species